rnacentral:tRNA from 4 species
UCCGGAGUAGCUCAGUUGGUAGAGCGAGUGGCUGUUAACCACCAGGUCGGGGGUUCGAGUCCCUCCUCCGGAG